GAUGAACGCUGGCGGCGUGCCUAAUACAUGCAAGUCGAGCGAACGGACGAGAAGCUUGCUUUUCUGAUGUUAGCGGCGGACGGGUGAGUAACACGUGGAUAACCUAUCUAGAAGACUGGGAUAACUCCGGGAAACCGGUGCUAAUACCUGCUAAUAUUUUGAACAGCAUGGUUCAAAAGUGAAAGACGGUCUUGCUGUCACUUAUAGAUUGAUCCGCGCUGUAUUAGCUAGUUGGUAGGGUAACGGCUUACCAAGGCGACGAUGAGUAGCCGGCCUGAGAGGGUGACCAGCCACACUGGAACUGAGACACGGUCCAGACUCCUACGGGAGGCAGCAGUAGGGAAUCUUCCGCAAUGGGCGAAAGCCUGACGGAGCAACGCCGCGUGAGUGAUGAAGGUCUUCGGGUUGUAAAGCUCUGUUAUUCGGGAAGAAAAUAUGUGUAAGAAACUGUUCACGUCUUGACGGUACCUGAUCAGAAAGCCACGGCUAACUACGUG
rnacentral:rRNA from 1 species